UCCCUGAUAGCUCAGUUGGUAAAGAAUCUGCCUUCAAUGCAGGAGACUCUGGUUUGAUUCCUGGUUUGGGAA
rnacentral:tRNA from 1 species